AUAUCAAUAAGCGGAGGAAAAGAAACCAACAGGGAUUGCCUCAGUAACGGCGAGUGAAGCGGCAACAGCUCAAAUUUGAAAGCUGCCAACAGGCCGCAUUGUAAUUUGUAGAAGAUGCUUUGGGUGCCGGCCUAGUCUAAGUUCCUUGGAACAGGACGUCAUAGAGGGUGAGAAUCCCGUACGUGAUUAGUGCCGGUGCCCGUGUAAAGCUCUUUCGACGAGUCGAGUUGUUUGGGAAUGCAGCCCUAAAUUGGAGGUAAAUCCCUUCUGAGGCUAAAUAUUGGCGAGAGACCGAUAGCGCACAAGUA
rnacentral:rRNA from 1 species